GGGAUUCGUAGAACUUCUGGAGGUCGCCACCACCAUGAACGGUGGUGGACGCUACCGGACGGUCUUCGUAGGCGAGGUUGUAUCGAGAAUCCUCAGAGACCAUAUGCCGAACACUCAUUCCGGAAACUGAUCCAGGAACGAGUGAAGAGAUGGUCCGAUCUGCAUGGCGACAUGCAGAGCCAGGCAGAAAUGCCCUGGCCCUCGAUUGGGAGACAGCUCCCGAUCGGCGGUAACAGAGAUGUCGGUCCCUAUCCGGUGUAGCCGUAGGAAAUCUGAGGAAGGCUGUCCCUAGUACGAGAGGACCGGGACGGACGCAGCUCUCGUGUGCCAGUUGUCCUGCCAAGGGCACGGCUGGUUGGCGACCUGCGGAAGGGAUAAGCGCUGAAAGCAUCUAAGUGCGAAGCUCGUUCCAAGAUGAGAUUUCCCACUGGGUUAGCCAGGUAAGUCCCGUGGUAGACGACCACGUUGAUAGGCCGGAGGUGUACGCACAGCAAUGUGUUCAGCCGACCGGUACUAAUCGGACGAGGGCUUGGGGAC
rnacentral:rRNA from 1 species